CGAAUCCUACGGGACGCAGCAGUAGGGAAUUUUCGUCAAUGGGCGCAAGCCUGAACGAGCAAUGCCGCGUGAACGAGGAAGGUCUUCGGAUCGUAAAGUUCUGUUGAAGGGGAAAAAGAGCGGAGAGAGGAAAUGAACUCCGAUUGAUAUUACCCUUCGAGGAAGUCACGGCUAACUACGUGCCAGCAGCCGCGGUAAUACGUAGGUGGCGAGCGUUAUCCGGAAUGAUUGGGCAUAAAGGGUGCGUAGGCGGCCUGCUAAGUCUGGAGUGAAAGGUACCGGCUCAACCGGUACAGGCUCUGGAA
rnacentral:rRNA from 1 species